UUCUAAGGGCGUUGAAGCAUGAUCGCAAGGACAUGUGGAGCGCUUAGAAGUGAGAAUGCCGGUGUGAGUAGCGAAAGACGGGUGAGAAUCCCGUCCACCGAUUGACUAAGGUUUCCAGAGGAAGGCUCGUCCGCUCUGGGUUAGUCGGGUCCUAAGCUGAGGCCGACAGGCGUAGGCGAUGGAUAACAGGUUGAUAUUCCUGUACCACCAUUAUUCGUUUUAAGCGAUGGGGGGACGCAGUAGGAUAGGCGAAGCGUGCUGUUGGAGUGCACGUCCAAGCAGUGAGAUUGAGUGUUAGGCAAAUCCGGCACUCUUAAGAUUGAGCUGUGAUGGGGAGAGGAACUUGUUCCUCGAGUCGUUGAUUUCACACUGCCGAGAAAAGCCUCUAGCUAGAAUAACGGUGCCCGUACCGCAAACCGACACAGGUAGUCAAGAUGAGAAUUCUAAGGUGAGCGAGCGAACUCUCGUUAAGGAACUCGGCAAAAUGACCCCGUAACUU
rnacentral:rRNA from 1 species